rnacentral:rRNA from 1 species
CAAUAGCGUAUAUUUAAGUUGUUGCAGUUAAAAAGCUCGUAGUUGGAUUUCGGGUUGGCUUCAGCGGUCUCGCUUUGCGUUUGUACUGCCGCAGCCUUCCUUCUUGCUGGGGACGGUCCUCCGGGCUUCAUUGCUUGGGGUCUGGAAUCAGCGACGUUACUUUGAGUAAAUUAGAGUGUUCAAAGCAAGCCUACGCUCUGAAUAUAAUAGCAUGGGAUAACACGACAGGACUCUGGCCUAUCGUGUUGGUCUGUAGGACCAGAGUAAUGAUUAAGAGGGACAGUCGGGGGCAUUCGUAUUCCGUUGUCAGAGGUGAGAUUCUUGGAUCUACGGAAGACGAACAUCUGCGAAAGCAUUUGCCAAGGAUGUUUUCAUUGA